rnacentral:rRNA from 1 species
GAUGAACGCUGGCGGCGUGCCUAGUACAUGCAAGUCGAGCGAACGGACGAGAAGCUUGCUUCUCUGAUGUUAGCGGCGGACGGGUGAGUAACACGUGGAUAACCUACCUAUAAGACUGGGAUAACUUCGGGAAACCGGCGCUAAUACCGGAUAAUAUUUUGAACCGCAUGGUUCAAAAGUGAAAGACGGUCUUGCUGUCACUUAUAGCUGGAUCCGCGCUGCAUUAGCUAGUUGGUAAGGUAAAGGCUUACCAAGGCAACGAUGCAUAGGCGACCUGAGAGGGUGAUCGGCCACACUGGAACUGAGACACGGUCCAGACUCCUACGGGAGGCAGCAGUAGGGAAUCUUCCGCAAUGGGCGAAAGCCUGACGGAGCAACGCCGCGUGAGUGAUGAAGGUCUUCGGAUCGUAAAACUCUGUUAUUAGGGAAGAACAUAUGUGUAAGUAACUGUACACAUCUUGACGGUACCUAAUCAGAAAGCCACGGCUAACUACGUG